CAAAGAUUAAGCCAUGCAUGUCUCAGUACAAGCCAAAUUAAGGUGAAACCGCGAAAGGCUCAUUAAAUCAGUUAUGGUUCCUUAGAUCGUACCCACAUUUACUUGGAUAACUGUGGUAAUUCUAGAGCUAAUACAUGCAAACAGAGCUCCGACCGGAGACGGAAGGAGCGCUUUUAUUAGAUCAAAACCAAUCGGUGGCGGGUCUCCCGUCACCGUACACCUUGGUGACUCUGAAUAACUUGUUGCUGAUCGCACGGUCUCGCACCGGCGACGCAUCUUUCAAAUGUCUGCCUUAUCAACUGUCGAUGGUAGGUUCUGCGCCUACCAUGGUUGUAACGGGUAACGGGGAAUCAGGGUUCGAUUCCGGAGAGGGAGCCUGAGAAACGGCUACCACAUCCAAGGAAGGCAGCAGGCGCGCAAAUUACCCACUCCCGGCACGGGGAGGUAGUGACGAAAAAUAACGAUACGGGACUCAUCCGAGGCCCCGUAAUCGGAAUGAGUACACUCUAAACCCUUUAACGAGGAUCAAUUGGAGGGCAAGUCUGGUGCCAGCAGCCGCGGUAAUUCCAGCUCCAAUAGCGUAUAUUAAAGUUGUUGCGGUUAAAAAGCUCGUAGUCGAAUUUGUGUCCCGCGCCGCCGGUUCAUCGCUCGCGGUGUCAACUGGCGUGUCCGCGGGACGUCCUGCCGGUGGGCUUAGCCUCCCGUGGGCGGCCCAAUCUCAAUCCCACCGCGGUGCUCUUCACUGAGUGUCGAGGUGGGCCGGCACGUUUACUUUGAACAAAUUAGAGUGCUUAAAGCAGGCUAAAACAUCGCCUGAAUACUGUGUGCAUGGAAUAAUGGAAUAGGACCUCGGUUCUAUUUUGUUGGUUUUCGGAACCCCGAGGUAAUGAUUAAUAGGAACGGAUGGGGGCAUUCGUAUUGCGACGUUAGAGGUGAAAUUCUUG
rnacentral:rRNA from 1 species